rnacentral:rRNA from 1 species
GACGAACGCUGGCGGCGUGCUUAACACAUGCAAGUCGAGCGAGGCCCCUCCUUCGGGAGGGUGUCCUAGCGGCGAACGGGUGAGUAACACGUGGGCAACCUGCCCUCAGCUCUGGGAUAACUCCGGGAAACCGGGGCUAAUACCGGAUACGACCUCCACGGGCAUCUGCGGAGGUGGAAAGUUUUUCGGCUGAGGAUGGGCCCGCGGCCUAUCAGCUAGUUGGUGGGGUAGUGGCCCACCAAGGCGACGACGGGUAGCCGGCCUGAGAGGGCGACCGGCCAAACGGGAACUGAGACACGGCCCAGACUCCUACGGGGGGCAGAAGGGGGGAAUAUUGCGCAAGGGGCGAAAGCCUGAGGAGGCGACGCGGGGGGGGGAAGAAGGGCCUUCGGGUUGUAAACCUCUUUAAGAAGGAACGAAGCGAAGGUGACGGUACCGGAAGAGGAAGAACCGGCAAACUACGU